rnacentral:rRNA from 1 species
CCUACGGGGGGCUGCAGUGGGGGAUAUUGCACAAUGGGGGGAACCCUGAUGCAGCGACGCCGCGUGGGUGAAGAAGCGCCUCGGCGCGUAAAGCCCUGUCAGCAGGGAAGAAAAUGACGGUACCUGAAGAAGAAGCCCCGGCUAACUACGUGCCAGCAGCCGCGGUAAUACGUAGGGGGCAAGCGUUAUCCGGAUUUACUGGGUGUAAAGGGGGCGCAGACGGCGAUGCAAGCCAGGAGUGAAAGCCCGGGGCCCAACCCCGGGACUGCUGUUGGAACUGCGGGGCUGGAGUGCAGGAGGGGCAGGCGGAAUUCCUGGUGUAGCGGUGAAAUGCGUAGAUAUCAGGAGGAACACCGGUGGCGAAGGCAGCCUGCGGGACUGCAACUGACGUUGAGGCCCGAAAGCGUGGGGAGCGAACAGGAUUAGAUACCCUUGUAGUC